rnacentral:rRNA from 1 species
CAAUAAGCGGAGGAAAAGAAACUAACAAGGAUUCCCCUAGUAACGGCGAGUGAAGAGGGAAAAGCUCAAAUUUAAAAUCUGGCGGUCUACGGCCGUCCGAGUUGUAAUUUAGAGAGGUGUUUUCCGCGUCGGACCACACACAAGUCCUUUGGGAUAAGGCUUCAUAGAGGGUGAGAAUCCCGUACAUGGUGUGGACUACCGGGGCUAUGUGAUGCACCCUCGAAGAGUCGAGUUGUUUGGGAAUGCAGCUCAAAAUGGGUGGUAAAUUCCAUCUAAAGCUAAAUAUUGGGGAGAGACCGAUAGCGCACAAGUACCGUGAGGGAAAGAUGAAAAGCACUUUGGAAAGAGAGUUAAACAGUACGUGAAAUUGCUGAAAGGGAAACGCUUGGAGUCAGUCGCGUCUUCUUGGACUCAGCCGUGGUUCUCCGCGGUGUACUUCUGGGAAGAUGGGCCAACAUCGAUUUUGUUCGCCGUACAAAGGCGGGAGGAAUGUGGCAUCUCUCGGGAUGUGUUAUAGCCUCUCGUUGCAUGCGGUGGGUGGGAUCGAGGAACGCAGCGCGCCCGCAAGGGUUGGGAUUCGUCCACAUACGCGCUUCGGAUGUUGGCGUAAUGGCUUUAAACGACCCGUCUUGA